GAUGAACGCUAGCGGCAGGCCUAAUACAUGCAAGUCGAGGGGCAGCGCAGUGUAGCAAUACAUGGGCGGCGACCGGCAAACGGGUGCGGAACACGUACGCAACCUACCCAUAACUGAUGAAUAGCCCUCCGAAAGGAGGAUUAAUACAUCGUAACAUAAUGAAGUGGCAUCACUUUAUUAUUAUAGCUCCGGCGGUUUUGGAUGGGCGUGCGCCUGAUUAGGUAGUUGGCGGGGUAACGGCCCACCAAGCCUGCGAUCAGUAACUGGUGUGAGAGCACGACCAGUCACACGGGCACUGAGACACGGGCCCGACUCCUACGGGAGGCAGCAGUAAGGAAUAUUGGUCAAUGGACGCAAGUCUGAACCAGCCAUGCCGCGUGAAGGAUGAAGGUCCUCUGGAUUGUAAACUUCUUUUAUAUGGGACGAAACCUCUUAUUCUUAAGAGACUGACGGUACCAUAGGAAUAAGCACCGGCUAACUCCGUGCCAGCAGCCGCCGUAAGAC
rnacentral:rRNA from 1 species